rnacentral:rRNA from 1 species
CGGGGGGGGUGCCUAUACAUGCAAGUCGAGCGGACAGAAGGGAGCUUGCUCCCGGAUGUUAGCGGCGGACGGGUGAGUAACACGUGGGUAACCUGCCUGUAAGACUGGGAUAACUCCGGGAAACCGGAGCUAAUACCGGAUAGUUCCUUGAACCGCAUGGUUCAAGGAUGAAAGACGGUUUCGGCUGUCACUUACAGAUGGACCCGCGGCGCAUUAGCUAGUUGGUGAGGUAACGGCUCACCAAGGCGACGAUGCGUAGCCGACCUGAGAGGGUGAUCGGCCACACUGGGACUGAGACACGGCCCAGACUCCUACGGGAGGCAGCAGUAGGGAAUCUUCCGCAAUGGACGAAAGUCUGACGGAGCAACGCCGCGUGAGUGAUGAAGGUUUUCGGAUCGUAAAGCUCUGUUGUUAGGGAAGAACAAGUGCAAGAGUAACUGCUUGCACCAUGACGGUACCUAACCAGAAAGCCACGGCUAACUACGUGCCAGCAGCCGCGGUAAUACGUAGGUGGCAAGCGUUGUCCGGAAUUAUUGGGCGUAAAGGGCUCGCAGGCGGUUUCUUAAGUCUGAUGUGAAAGCCCCCGGCUCAACCGGGGAGGGUCAUUGGAAACUGGGAAACUUGAGUGCAGAAGAGGAGAGUGGAAUUCCACGUGUAGCGGUGAAAUGCGUAGAGAUGUGGAGGAACACCAGUGGCGAAGGCGACUCUCUGGUCUGUAACUGACGCUGAGGAGCGAAAGCGUGGGGAGCGAACAGGAUUAGAUACCCUGGUAGUCCACGCCGUAAACGAUGAGUGCUAAGUGUUAGGGGGUUUUCCGCCCUCUUAGUGCUGCAGCUAACGCAUUAAGCUACUCCGCCUGGGGGAGUACGGGUCGAACGACAGAAAUCUCAGAGGAAUAUGACGGGACGGCCCGCACAAGCGCUGUAGCAUGGUGGUUUUAUUUUCGGAGCAACGAUGGAGAAACUUAGCAUGUUCUGACAUUCUUCUGACUAUCAUAAUAGAUCAGGUCUUUUUCUAUACGGAGACAGGAAUGACAAGGUGUGUCAUGGCUUUGUCGUCAGCCUCGUGCCGAUGAUAAGGAUAGAUUUAAGUUAC